rnacentral:lncRNA from 1 species
AUAAAUAAAUAAAUAAAUAAAUAAAUAAAUAAAUAAAAGAAAAAAUCUUGGACUUGGACCUCUCUCAUUUGAGCCCACAGGUCCACAAAAAUCAGGUUAUAAAUUCAGAGUUUCAGUGAAACAAAAGGCAAUUCUAUUCCUAUUACCCUGUUUGGGAAAAAGAUAGUGAGAGAAGAACCCUGGGGAAAAAGAUAGUGAGAGAAGAGCUAACAGAGUUCAGAGC